rnacentral:rRNA from 1 species
UACGGGGGGGGCAAGCGUUGUUCGGAAUUACUGGGCGUAAAGGGCGCGUAGGCGGCCUGCUAAGUCGGAUGUGAAAACUCUGGGCUCAACCCAGAGCCUGCAUUCGAUACUGCCGUGCUUGAGGACUGGAGAGGAGACUGGAAUUUACGGUGUAGCGGUGAAAUGCGUAGAUAUCGUAAGGAAGACCAGUGGCGAAGGCGGGUCUCUGGACAGUUCCUGACGCUGAGGCACGAAGGCCAGGGGAGCAAACGGG